GACGGAGGAUGCAAGUGUUAUCCGGAAUCACUGGGCGUAAAGCGUCUGUAGGUGGUUUAAAAAGUCUACUGUUAAAGCUUGAAGCUUAACUUCAAAAAUGCCGUAGAAACUUUUAAACUUGAGUAUGGUAGGGGUAGAGGGAAUUUCCAGUGGAGCGGUGAAAUGCGCAGAUAUCAGGAGGAACACCGGUGGCGAAGGCGGGUCUCUGGGCCGAUACUGACGCUGAGGAGCGAAAGCGUGGGGAGCGAACAGG
rnacentral:rRNA from 1 species